GACGAACGCUGGCGGCGUGCUUAACACAUGCAAGUCGAACGGAAAGACCCUGCUUUUGUGGGGUGCUCGAGUGGCGAACGGGUGAGUAACACGUGAGUAACCUGCCCUUGACUUUGGGAUAACUUCAGGAAACUGGGGCUAAUACCGGAUAGGAGCUCCUGCUGCAUGGUGGGGGUUGGAAAGUUUCGGCGGUUGGGGAUGGACUCGCGGCUUAUCAGCUUGUUGGUGGUGUAGUGGCUUACCAAGGCUUUGACGGGUAGCCGGCCUGAGAGGGUGACCGGCCACAUUGGGACUGAGAUACGGCCCAGACUCCUACGGGAGGCAGCAGUGGGGAAUAUUGCACAAUGGGCGGAAGCCUGAUGCAGCAACGCCGCGUGCGGGAUGACGGCCUUCGGGUUGUAAACCGCUUUCGCCUGUGACGAAGCGUGAGUGACGGUAAUGGGUAAAGAAGCACCGGCUAACUACGUG
rnacentral:rRNA from 1 species